rnacentral:rRNA from 1 species
UACGAGUGGUGCAAACGUUAUUCGGAAUUACUGGGCUUAAAGGGUGUGUAGGCUGCCAUGAAGGUCUGCUGUGACAUACCACGGCUCAACCGUGGAACGGCGUUGGAAACCACAUGGCUGGAAUGAGACAGAGGUGAGCGGAACUGAUGGUGGAGCGGUGAAAUGCGUUGAUAUCAUCAGGAACACCGGUGGCGAAAGCGGCUCACUGGGUCUUUAUUGACGCUGAUGCACGAAAGCCAGGGGAGCAAACGGG